AUUAAACCUCUUUCCUUUAUAAACUACCCAGUCUUGGUAUGUCUUUAUAGCAGUGUGAGAACAGACUAACACAUAUGCCCUGCAUGGGAGAGCUCAUUUCAUUAAUGCUAAAGUCAACAGAGCCUUGAAAGUGGCUUACAGGCAUGGCCUCAGGAAGAGCCAAGAGCCACCAAAUGUGAUCCCCUCUUCUAUUCCUAGGAGCCCCUUGACGAGCAGACUUCCCAGGAUGUAAAGGAGAAGAGCUCAAGGAAUUGCCAUAAAGUUAGUGUAGAGAGUAGUUUGGUGAUGAGUCAAUGGUCAUUCAUCCCCCACCUCAUGGUGCAAUACUUUGUAGUGAAUCUUCUGAGUCCUAUGUCUCAAUUUCCUUAUCUAACAAAUGGCAUGGUGGUCCUUGCCCUAGCUAACCCAUAGGAUUGACUUGAUUUGAAAACCCUGAAAUGUUACUCGGUGGUGGGCUUCAGACUCCCCCAGGCAGGAUCCUGCAGCUCUGGGCCAUGCAUAUGCCUCUGUGGACAGGGACAUCAUCAGCUCUCUAUCCAGCCCGCGCCCCACACUCUCACCCCAUGGCAAAGCCUGAGCUUUGUGCCUGCUAGAGGGAGUAGAAUAUUCACUCAGGGAGAAUAUUCCUCCUGGCAGAGAACAGGCAGCACUCUGGGUGUAUGUCUGGGAGCCCCACCCACUCUGGCCGUCCUCCUGUGUGAGGAUAGGGAGCCAGGUCAGGCCACCCCCUCCAAGUUGCUGCCUUUAAGCUACUGUGCUUUGUGCUUUCUGGUGUUUCAGUUUAUCUUCUCAGGAUUUGGAAUUGGGAAGCAGGACACUCCUUCAGCUCAGAUACUUGCUUGUGCCCCAGACUCCAGAGACCCUCUCCCCACCUCCUUUCCUCCCUUGCCCCCUUCCAUGGGGACCAAGAGGGGCUCCUGCCUCAGGCCUUGGGGAGGGGCUCACAUGCCCUUUGGAGGCUUCCAUGGAGAGACAGUGGCAGAGGAUGAAAAGGAGGAGCUAAAGAAGCAGAAAAAGGAAAAGAGGAGGAAAAGCCAGGAGAUUACAAGGGAUCAAGGAGAGGCUGUUUUAAGUACAAGGCAGCGUACCUAGGAGCUGGGCUCCUGUGGCUAUGGGGGCUGGAGGCUGCAUGGCAGUGGACGCUGAGAAGAAGCUGUGCAUUCGAGAAGCCGAAAGAAGAUGGUCUGUCCUCCCGCAGGGGCCUCAGGGACCUCAGGCAAUGCUGGGCUCUCAGAGGGUAGGGUGGGGGCAUCCAUGCCCUCAUCUUGGCCUAGGAGGCAACAGGUGUUUAUCUGAAGCACCUCUGCAUGGGGUGGACAUCAGACAAAGAUAGUGUGUGUGUUUAUGUGUGUGUAGAUGCAUGUGGGAGACACAUUUCAGUGUGCAGACUGCGUGCAUUCAUAACUGUGUGUUUUCGAAUGUGCAGGCCAAGCUCCAGACAGUGCAUGCCUGUCAAAGAGGCCCACGGGCAAUCUGAAACCAUGACUGGACACCAGCCCAGGCUGCGACAGCCCAAAGGACAGCCCUCUCCCCACAUCAGGGCUGCUCUGACCAUGUCCCAGCUUAAGCAGGGCAGUUGUCCAAGGCUAUCACCUUGCUCUCUGCUGGGCUCAAUUCAUGACUGACAGGUGGCCAGGACCCAGUGGUUUACCAGGGACUUUCUCCCUUAGGCUCUCACAUGAUCCUGGUAAAAACCGUGUGGUGCACAGUACAGUUCUCUUUACAGAGACAGGAACCAAAACUGAGAGUCUCAGAAAACUGCCUUUUGAAGUCAGAUCCAGUAUUGUUUCCUUUGCCUGCAAAUGUUAUUAGGUACUGUUUCUGUAUUUUGGGGCCAUCUCCUCUUACAUGUCUACCCUUUUAACCCCUAAGGGUCAGAAAUGUGCAUAGAAGGCCAGAGUAGGGACCUUGCUUUCCCCAUGCAUGUUCUUUGUGACUGGACUUAAAUGGUGAGGGUGAAGGUGGGUCACAAGUCCAGAGUUUAGCUCCUGGGGGACCUUCUUCCAAGGCCUGGGGGCCUAUAAAUUCCAAAUUCUAGACUUACAGGGAUUUUAAAGUUGGGAGCAGCUCUGUAUAGGAGGGAAGAGGUGCUGCUAUCAGGAACUCAGAGAGGAUUUUUGGAAUCUGUUGGGACUGUGUUCGAAUUCCAGUUAUGUGACAGAGGCCAAUCAGUUCUCUCUCUCUCUGCAUCUCAGCUUUCUCAUCUAUAAAAUGGGAAUCUAAUAAAAAUAAAAAUAACAAAUACUUGUAGAAUGCCAACAAGAUGUAAGACUCUAUUUUAAGUAUUUAAUAUAUAUUAAUUUAAUCUUUACAACAAUAUUGUGAGUCAGGAAUAUUAUCGCCAUUGAACAGAUGAGAAAACUGAUUCUCAAAAUAUUAAGUGAUUUGUGCAACAUCAUAGUUUUCGUACACAACGAAUAUGGGACUUGAGCCCAGCAGUCUGGCUGCAACAUCUGUGUUUAACCACUGCAAUACUUCACAGCAGGACUGGAUAACUACCUGAACCUUGGGUGGUAAAAAAACAGCUUAACAACAUGUGGUGGUUUUAAAACCUGUCUGCAAACUCUUUGAUACUCCUCCAUCAAAAGGCAAAAUCUAGGUCUCCUCCCUUUGAAAGUCCGAGAUAAACUGUGAGACAGACUUCAAGAAUUAGGAUGCAGUGAACGGGAUGCUAUGAAACUUCCAAGGGUGGCUUAGGAAAGACCUUUGGCUUCUGCCGGUCUCUCUCGGGAUACCUGCUUUGGGAGCCUUCUGCUGCUGCGUGAGAUCCCUGGCUACCCUGGAGAGACGUCAGACAACAGGUGAGACGCCCGAGAGCCCUGGCUGUCUGUGUCUUUGCAGCCCAAGCUCCAGACAUGUACUGAAGAAGCUUUAAGGAUGAAUUCAGUCCCAGCUACUCCCUGGCUACAACUAUAAGACAGACCCUCCCAAGUAAGAACUGCCUAGCCAAGCUCAGGCAGCUCCAAGAUUUCAGGGCAAAAUAAAAGAUGGUUCUAUCUUUAAGCUACUGUUGGGGUGGUGUGCUAUACGGUAGUAGAUAGUCAGAACACAACAUUUACUUUACAAUAGUUGUAAAGUAAGGAAUGAGGAAUCACUGAAAAUGUAGAUGUCGAGCCCCUGGUGGGGACUGCCACCUCGCUUUCCCUCAUUCCUCUGCACUCUCUGGGUAUCCUCACCAAUACCUCUUGUCUUAAAACAGAAGCGACUCAUACACAAGUUCCAUAGCCACCUCCACCAGACUCUGGAAACCAGUGUCGCGGAUUGCAGCUUUCUCACCUGUGACUGACUCCCCACUCCAGGACAAUAUGACAUGCCGCCGGAAGGAGCUGAAGACCAGUUGAUAUGAUGAAUAAAUGCAAAGUGCUGGGUACACAGAAGGACUAUGUGACGAAGCGCCAUCACAUGGCUGGUAGCCUGUGGUGAGUCACCGGACUUCUCGACUCCCACGUCACUGGGGUGGAAGGAACAGUAACCACAAUGCUCCACAACUCGGGCUGCACCCGUAUGAUUGGAAACAAUCUGUGAAAUUGUGGAGUGAACGACUCCGAAGAAACAGACUUCUAAUUCUAGCCUUUUGGAGAUUAUUAACCCAACUCCCAGAUUUUAGAGAUGAGGAAAGGGAGGCCCAGGGAGGUGGGGAUACAUGUCCAGGAUCACAGAGGUGAUAAGUGAGUUUGCUUGGCUAAGUUCAACUGUACCUACUUGUCUCCAGAGACUGCUCAGGAACUAGAACACCCUGAUACAACAUAGGCACCUGUGAUGGAGAUACUCCCUCAAAAGUGGAAUGGGGCAUGAAGGAGAAUUGUCUCCUAAAAGCUGGGAAGUUUCUCCUAAUCCUUUUUAGGGUACCUUCCCUGUAUCCCAACUGCUCUUCAACUGCCGGAACUCAUGUCAGUCUCCAAAGAACAGUGUCCAAAUGUGUAUGAUGCCACAUUGGCUGAAGUGUGCUCUAAUUGUGCAGAUAUUCCCAUAAAUGCUAUUUUAUUAAGCUGAGCUACACUAAAUCUGUCAUCUCCAUAAGUAAUACCACAGCAAAUCUGUAGAUAAGUUCAGAACACUGCAGUGAGCCAUGCUGGGCUAUUAGUUUCAAUUCAGCGCUGUUUCCUGUAAGUUACAGCAUCUCAGGGGCACAACUUAGGCACUGAGUAAUAAGAUUUGGUUCCUUCCAGAUGCCCUCAGCUCCCCAAAACAACAGAAAUGAUCAAAGACAGAGGCAAGAAGACCAGAGAACCCUAAAUGUUUACUGUCUCUAAAGUGUUUGGAAACAGCUUGGACCAGUGUAGAGUGCUGGAACAGAGAAUCAAGAGCAUCAGGUUCGAUUCCCACCCUUAUGAACUGCUCAGCCUAUGAAAAUUACUUUGUGUUUCAGGCCUCACUCUUGUCAUCUUUAAAAUGGCAACACAUAUACACACCCCUCCGCAGUAAAUACAGAAGUUCUGCAAGCCAGGACGUUAAAUACUUAGGAUGAAAAUGAUGACGAUUAAGUCUAUUCUAUCACUUGAUCCGAUUCUCUCUGACUAUUCUGCAGGGGGUAAUAACAUGGCCUGCAGAUGAUCCAUAAUCCACCAUCUUCUGGUGAAAAGAGAU